AGUAUCCGAUCAUAACGAGAUAAUCGGUUUGUGAUGAACAAAGAGGCAAUUAAUUAAACGUACACCGGGUUAAAAUGCUUAAACAAAGAGUGUCAAAAUUGGUGUGAACAAUUAAAUAAAAACAAUUACAUUUAUCAAGAGGAUUUAAUUAUUAUGUAACAAGUUACGGAGCCUUACGCGGAGCCUUACGUAUGGGGGUUUCGUUCGUACUAGCUGUUUGGUAAGAAUGUCUUGUUGAUCAACAGAAUUCCAUUGACUGACAAGUCAUGCCAGGUGUGUGCGUCUUCUUGAAUGAAUUACACUACACAUGUACAAUAACUGGUGGGAGUGACUUAGGAUCGACCGAAGUACUGCUACACAGACGAUCACGAGCAAAAUAACGCUAAGACAUGGACAGAAAGUACUGUCACACAGCCGAUCAAGAGCUGAUACGAGCAAUAAUAUGAGCGGAAAAGUGUUUAUGGGAAGGACGCCCAGAAACCCACUGGACCUCCAGGUAAUGGAUUGGGCCAAAGGCUAACGACCUUCUCCCGAAAAAACUAGUUACGUAAACAACGGAAACCGUUGGUUAGAAAACCAGAGUGGAGAAAGGAUCACCAGCACAGCACUAUAACGGCGAUGAAUAGAAGCCUUGUGGAAUCUAAGAGCCCGACCAGAUCACUUUUAAUACCCACAAACAGGUUCACCAUAUGCCACUGGAGUAUUAAAUAAAUAUACAUAGAAAUUAAGCAAUCGCACAGAUCGCGAGUGAGAUGGAAGACUUCCGAUUGGGCAUACUUGCAAAAAGCGAGUUCAAAUGGACAGGAUUGAGCACGUUGAAAAUGUCUCCGGGACAGUCUCUGAUUGCAAGUGGGAACUACAUGAAGUUGUUGCCAUCAUUAUAUGUGAAGUCGUUUUUCGAAUGGACACAUAAAUAAGAAAUCGUUACUCCAAGGUUCUACUUAAAAUAUCGGGGAGUGAUCUUCAUCCAAGUGAACGCUCCUCACAACGAAAACGAAUAUGCUGAAAAUGAAUGAUUAUACGAAGAACUAUAUCAAAUAUACGAAAGCAACACGAAUGACAUUAUUAUUAUCUUGGGAGACCGAAAUGCUUAAGUUGGAAUUGAACAUAGUGGGUAUGAGAGAACGAUGGGAAUGCAUUGAUUUGAAACACAAAAUAAAUGAAAAUGGAGAACAACUGUGUGAGUUGUACUAUAUAAACGGUAUUGUAAUUACAUGAACAUAUAAAGACAUACACAAAGACAAUACGGGUAUUAGCUGACAAGAGCAAGAACCAGAUAGAUAAUCUUUUGAUCAACUUUCAGUGGAGAUCAUCAGUAUUGAACGCGUGAGCACAUAGAGGAGAUGAUAUAAAUAGUGACCACUACUUAGUGAUGACCCGCAUUUAACUGCGCAUCAGCGCCCAUAGGAACCACAACAAAGUCAAACCAAGACUGAUGUAGGACGAUUGAAAGAUGAAGAAGAGUAAGACCAAAAAGAGAUGUGUGAAGCAAUAAGAACAGGCUAAAGGAGACCAGAAAUGAAAACGAAGACAUAGAAAAAGCAUGGGAACAGCAGAAGAACGCCUUACAAUUGCGAGAACGAGAAACCGCGAUUCGUUGGGACAAGAUAACGAUGCGAGAAUGUGAGAUGUGAAAACGCAAAAGUGAACAAUGCGAAAUCCCGAUUUGAUGCUGAGAGAUUCUUAUGUGAAAAGAAAGUGCGACAAGACAAUUCGAAAGUCGUGAAAAUAUGUAGCAAUAUCAAAUUGUAUUCUUGCAUCCGAUCUUUUAGAAAUACAAAGUAAAGAACGCGAGACACUAUACGAUUUAGAUGCGAUAUCGUGGUAUUAAUUUCGCGAUAUCGAUUUGUGAUUUCACGUUGAACUUCGCAAAUUAUGAUUUCGCGUUCUACCAUCCUGAUUUCAUGCCAUUGUACCGUAGAUUUUAGAUUUUUGCUUUAUUCAGUGUGUUGGUUUUCAAACAUUAAUUCCGUUGUGUUUUCCCAUUCGAUUGUACUAACAUAUAAUAAAGUAAAAUAUAAACCCAUUAUUUAAUGAAAUUGCAUGAUGUGCUAGGCCCUUUUUUAUUACAAAGUGGAAUUGUUUGAUUUAUUUUAUUUGUCAAGAAAAACCUCUGGCUUGAAUUGCAUGUGAUUGUGUUUGAAUGGAUGACGGCUCUAAUUAUUCUAAAUAAAGCCAUACGGGCUAAUAAGUGCUCCUUACAAAGGAAUGCUUAAAAUUAAUACCAUAAUGCAACUAACAUCAUAAACAUUAACAUGUCACGAUGCAUGUGCAUGCUUUAAUGAUCGUAGUGAUUCAAUCUA